UACGUAGGUGACAAGCGUUGUCCGGAUUUACUGGGCGUAAAGAGCGCGCAGGCGGUCGAUCAAGUCGAGUGUGAAAGCCCCCGGCUCAACUGGGGAGGGUCAUUCGAUACUGAUCGACUCGAAGGCAGGAGAGGGUAGUGGAAUUCCCGGUGUAGUGGUAAAAUGCGUAGAUAUCGGGAGGAACACCUAUGGCGAAGGCAGCUCGCUGGGACGUUACUGACGCUGAGACGCGAAAGCGUGGGGAGCAAACAGG
rnacentral:rRNA from 1 species